AGCCUGACCCCACUGUACCACUCAGGGCUGACAGGUGGUGACACCUCCUGCUGCGAGACCCUACUCUACUACAGGGCCAGACUGGGAGUGAGGGAUGAGAAUGGCUGGGAGGAGUCUCACCAGCUCAGGGAUGAAGAGGAAUUUGGAAUGCAAGAGAUACACAAGGCCUGCCAGAAUGGUUUUGCCCAGCACUUGGAGCACCUUCUGUUCUAUGGGGCAGAUGCCACUUCUCAGAAUGCCUCAGGGAACACCGCACUUCAUAUUUGUGCUCUGUAUAAUAAGGAAAGCUGUGUUCGUGUUCUGCUCUACAGAGGGGCCAGUAAGGAAAUUAAGAACAAGCAUGGACAAACCCCCUUUCAGGUAUCAAUAACAAAUUAAUGUUUUCAGUUUUCUUUAGUUAUUUAUUCUGCCGACUAGCCCU
rnacentral:lncRNA from 1 species